GGACAUAUAGAUCAAAGGUAGAUUAACAUCUUGUCGAGAUGUAGGGUGCAGGUUCGAAUCCAGCUAUGUCCG
rnacentral:tRNA from 1 species